AGUGAACGCUGGCGGUAGGCCUAACCAUGCAAGUCGAACGGCAGCACAGGAGAGCUUGCUCUCUGGGUGGCGAGUGGCGGACGGGUGAGGAAUGCAUCGGAAUCUACUCUGUCGUGGGGGAUAACGUAGGGAAACUUACGCUAAUACCGCAUACGACCUACGGGUGAAAGCAGGGGACCUUCGGGCCUUGCGCGAUUGAAUGAGCCGAUGCCCGAUUAGCUAGUUGGCGGGGUAAGAGCCCACCAAGGCGACGAUCGGUAGCUGGUCUGAGAGGAUGAUCAGCCACACUGGAACUGAGACACGGUCCAGACUCCUACGGGAGGCAGCAGUGGGGAAUAUUGGACAAUGGGCGCAAGCCUGAUCCAGCCAUACCGCGUGGGUGAAGAAGGCUUCGGGUUGUAAAGCCCUUUUGUUGGGAAAGAAAAGCAGCCGGUUAUACCGGUUGUUCUGACGGUACCAAAGAUAAGCACGGCUAACUUCGUGCCACAGCGGGGGAAA
rnacentral:rRNA from 1 species